CAUAGGUUAAUGAGGCGAACCGGGGGAACUGAAACAUCUAAGUACCCCGAGGAAAAGAAAUCAACCGAGAUUCCCCCAGUAGCGGCGAGCGAACGGGGAGCAGCCCAGAGCCUGAAUCAGUGUGUGUGUUAGUGGAAGCGUCUGGAAAGGCGCGCGAUACAGGGUGACAGCCCCGUACACAAAAAUGCACAUACUGUGAGCUCGAUGAGUAGGGCGGGACACGUGGUAUCCUGUCUGAAUAUGGGGGGACCAUCCUCCAAGGCUAAAUACUCCUGACUGACCGAUAGUGAACCAGUACCGUGAGGGAAAGGCGAAAAGAACCCCGGCGAGGGGAGUGAAAAAGAACCUGAAACCGUGUACGUACAAGCAGUGGGAGCACGCUUAGGCGUGUGACUGCGUACCUUUUGUAUAAUGGGUCAGCGACUUAUAUUCUGUAGCAAGGUUAACCGAAUAGGGGAGCCGAAGGGAAACCGAGUCUUAACUGGGCGUUAAGUUGCAGGGUAUAGACCCGAAACCCGGUGAUCUAGCCAUGGGCAGGUUGAAGGUUGGGUAACACUAACUGGAGGACCGAACCGACUAAUGUUGAAAAAUUAGCGGAUGACUUGUGGCUGGGGGUGAAAGGCCAAUCAAACCGGGAGAUAGCUGGUUCUCCCCGAAAGCUAUUUAGGUAGCGCCUCGUGAAUUCAUCUCCGGGGGUAGAGCACUGUUUCGGCAAGGGGGUCAUCCCGACUUACCAACCCGAUGCAAACUGCGAAUACCGGAGAAUGUUAUCACGGGAGACACACGGCGGGUGCUAACGUCCGUCGUGAAGAGGGAAACAACCCAGACCGCCAGCUAAGGUCCCAAAGUCAUGGUUAAGUGGGAAACGAUGUGGGAAGGCCCAGACAGCCAGGAUGUUGGCUUAGAAGCAGCCAUCAUUUAAAGAAAGCGUAAUAGCUCACUGGUCGAGUCGGCCUGCGCGGAAGAUGUAACGGGGCUAAACCAUGCACCGAAGCUGCGGCAGCGACGCUGAUGCGUUGUUGGGUAGGGGAGCGUUCUGUAAGCCUGUGAAGGUGUGCUGUGAGGCAUGCUGGAGGUAUCAGAAGUGCGAAUGCUGACAUAAGUAACGAUAAAGCGGGUGAAAAGCCCGCUCGCCGGAAGACCAAGGGUUCCUGUCCAACGUUAAUCGGGGCAGGGUGAGUCGACCCCUAAGGCGAGGCCGAAAGGCGUAGUCGAUGGGAAACAGGUUAAUAUUCCUGUACUUGGUGUUACUGCGAAGGGGGGACGGAGAAGGCUAUGUUGGCCGGGCGAC
rnacentral:rRNA from 1 species